GAACACAGCUCGACAUGCAAGAUUGUCGCCAAUGGGUUAAGAGCAGGAUGGAAGACAGAGGAGCCAAACCUUGUGAAUUUUCUCAAACAGCUCCACCUCACAAACCCUCUGAUUCAGUUUCAAACACCACUUUUUCUGAAGAAUUUGGUCGUCAAGUAGAUGAGGGGGCUUUGGGAGAUAGUUUGUCUGAUAACUGGGCAAAUUCAUAUGAUGACGGUCGGACCCUUCAAGGGGUGUCUUUGCAUUUUCUGAUAUGAAUCCAUAUGUUGGUCAUCAAAAACCUUUAAAAGAAGGUCAAGAGCUAUUGAGGAAAGGACUUUUGAGUGAAGCAGUGCUUGCCCUAGAGGCUGAAAUUAUGAAAAAUCCUGAGAAUGCUGAAGGUUGGAGAUUUCUAGGAAUAACCCAUGCUGAAAAUGAUGAUGACCAGCAGUGAAUAGUGCAGGAAUCCACGGUGUGAAUUGAGGGUCCAUCGAUAGUGCUGUAACAACUAGUGUAAAGCCAGAGUCCACUGACAAUGCAGUGACCCCCAAUGUCAAGCCAGAAUCACCUGGGAAGAUCCAGUCUUAGCUUUUAGGGACAUAGCUCCCCGGGGCUCCUACGCACAUUUCAAUUAUUCCAAAAUCAAAGGAUGGCCUAACUGGUUUGUCUAAGGAAAUUCUGGAGGCUCCCGAGAAAGCUGAGUCUCAUAUUUGGACAUUUUGGACACUCGAAGAAGCACAAGCUUAUUGGAAGCAAGAAUUGGACAUUUAAAUGGUCGAGAAUCGAAAUAAUCGAAAUAGACUUUAAUUAAGCUGCAUGUUGCAGACUUGCAGCUGAGUUUUCUUGUUUUUUUCCCCUUUAAGUUCCAGUUGUUACCUUUUAACUAUUACAAUAAAUCAAUAAAUUAGUGCAACAGAGAGUAGAGGUUCUUUUGUUUGUGUUAAGAGCUGUCUAUAUAAAGGGCUGUGUUUUUUAUUUUUGUUUAAUUUGUUUUCACUAGCGGUCUUGCUAAGGGUAAUAGAUGAGAAUUUUUUGGAA